rnacentral:lncRNA from 1 species
GCAAUUCAUACCACUAUCGCGAUGGGGGUAGAGAGACUGAAAUCUAUUGAAAUUUCUAUUAUUCUUGGAAAUUUUUUCUAUCAAUAUUGGAAUUGUAAGGUGACUUAUUUUUUUUUUUUGCUUUUUUUUAUCAUAUGAAACUAUGGUCCAUGUAAAUUCAUCGUCAUUUUUUUUCCCUUAUUUUUCUAUUUUUUCAUUUUUUUCUUCUUUUUCUAUUUUUUUUAUUCUGAAUCUAUUUUUUUACUCAUUUCUAAAUUUUUUCUUCAAUUUUUACUUCUUUUUUUCUUGAGAAUGAUCAGCGUUAGGGUUUUCGGAAUUCUCAGAGUUUUUUUCCUUAUUUUUGUAACAGUAAUGAAUGUUAUGACCUAAACAUACACAUAAUUGACAUAGAGGAGUGGUACUCUCAAAGAGAAUUUUUUGAAGGUGAAACCCAAUAAGAACAUUUGGAGGAAAAAGUUUGUUAAGUGGUGUCAAGAUACACAAUCUAGCGCAUCUUCCUCUUGAAGCAGUCCAUGUGCAACUGUCUAUUUUCAGAACCGUGCCUAUAGUAUUGCCAAUUUUUUGAAAAAUCUGAAGGUCAUAAUAUUCAGUGGGAAGUUUGGGUAGGCAUAUCCAAAUAGUUGUGUAGUUGGAAGUUUCCUUUAAGUGAUUGAACUUUUGUUCCCACUUACGAGUGGAGAGAUAUUGUGAGCCAAUGAACCAAGGUCCAUGAAGGAGGACUUUUUCAUAAUUUUGUUUGUGGAUAAACUUGAUAAGGUAGAAAUCUUCUCCUAGGUUAAUGUGGUUUAAAUCUUUGUUGAGGUUCCAUAACUCUUUCAGUCUAGAUCUAAGAUAGUUAUAGCCUAGACUUUUGCCCAGAAGUUUCACCAUAACAGCUUGUUCCCAUGGAGUAUAUAAUCUUUUUUUAUCAAAAGUCAAAAUGGUAUAAAAAAGGGAUGAUUUGACUUAUUUUCUUGCUCGUCGUCUAAGUUGAAGAGAUGAAAAGUCUUUUUGGAUAGAUUCUAUAGGGUUGAUGAGAUUAUCUAUUAAUAUUUUAUCUUUAAAGCUCAUCGUACUAGAAGUAGAAAAUAAAUGAGAAGAGAAUGUAGGUACCUAUUUAGGCUUAUUUAUACUUCUUGUCAGAAGAUCUUCCUCUUAUGGUUGCAUCACUUUAUCUGUGAUAUCCAUUAGAGUUGAUGUUGGUUGGUAGUUGCAGUAAAUGUUGAAGAUUUUCCUUGCUUUUUUAGAGAGAAGGCAAAGGCUUUCUCUCUCUUAAAUUUUCCUUACACACUUGGACUUUAAAUAAAAAUAGAAUUUGUCAACUAUCAAAAUUUGGGAUUCAAGGAAUCUUCAAUUUACCCCAUUUUUAUAAGGCAAACCUAACUUCAUUUUUGUGUAAGUCUAUGAGAUCAGUAUCACUACUGCUCAACAUACUCAUACGCCUGCAUUUUUACUACACCUUGCACACCUGUUAACAUGUUAACACAAAUUCCCUCUUUUGACAUCAUUAAAAAUUAGAUAGAGAUAAUGUUAGGGAUAAAGUAGAUAGUAAAGAACUCAAUGUCAUUGAGGCAAUAGAGACACAAUUAAGAAAGUCACAUAAGAUUCACAAGUAGCAGUAACAGGCAUAAGGCGAAAAUUAUAACAAGAUAAGCACAACAUUAAGACAAUUAAUGAUACAAAACAAAACAUCCAAAAAUUAGUUACAAAGUAUCAAAAAUAAAUUGAUGUAUCAUCAGAACAAAAAAAUCAAAGAUAUCAAGGUUUAAGAGGAAGAUAAAGGAUUGAACUGAGCUCCAAAAAGAGAGCAAUGAGCUGCUGGAUUUACUCAAAAUGAAUGCUCUGCAUUUUAAUCAUUUCUGAUUUAAGGGAAUCUACCUGUGCUUGUGACAUUUUCACACACUCCCUUAAACCAAAUUUUCUUCCUUUAACUGGGCAAUAUCCUUCUAUGUUGCUUUCAAGUCCAUAGGUCAAGUGAUAGGGAUAGUGCACUUCUUUCCUAUAGUAUUUUCACUAAAGUAAUCACACUCAUUUAGGGUAAAGAGUGUAACAUGUCAGACCUUGUUGCAACAAUACCUUUUACUAGGGGUACAUUAAAUUUUACAAACACAACAAAGAGAAGAAAAUCAUAUGCAAGACUAUAAGGCUCAGUCUUAGAAGAGGUCACACUCCUCGUAUGUUUGAUCAUCAAUGCAAUGAGGUAUAUCUUCUCACUCAUGUCUAGGACAUUCAUUAUCCUUAGAUCUCUGAAGCAAGAAUUUGAUUUUCUCCCUUUCCUGGGCAGUAUCUCCUUGUGCACAAUAUCAAACAACCUAUGGCUAGGAGUUAUCUCUCCACUAUUUACUUUUUCAGGAUUAUUCUUUUUCUUUUCUUUAGUGAACUUAUUGAUAAGAAAACACUCAACAUCCUUCUUCCACACAUAUUCUUUUAACUAUUCAGAGGGAACACCUAAUACUUUUUCUAGUCUUAUAGGAUCAAGAAUAAUUUCAACUCCCCUUACACUAAAACUGAUCAUCCACCUAUCCAAGAACUUCAAAUUAACAUAGAAUUCUACUACCUCAAAUUUAUGUAACACAUGUUAUUCUAUCAAAAACAAGUGAUUCCACCCCUGAAACCUAAGUUUUUUAAGUAGUUAAACAAUGGAAAGAUUAUCAAUUACCUCUUUAGCAAAAGUUCUACCCUUGAGCAUCAAUUGAGUAGAGUAGUAGCCAAUGAAACUCAAUCUCAAGAACUUUUCAUAGUUCCUGUUUACCUUUCCCUUCUUCUCAGUAAUUUCCUCUUCUUCAUCCUAUUCCUCCAUAUAUGUAUCUUCAUCCUCAUUAAUCUCUAUAGGUUCAUUAUUAUCAUCUAUUUUAUUCUUUCCUCUAGCCACCUUAUCUUUCUUUUCCUUUAUAGCCUUUCUCACUUCAGCAACCUUUUUUCCUAGGAUUAGUUAUUUUUGAAAGAAAGGCAGGAGAGAUUUGAGGAACUACCUUUGAUUUGGGGUGCAUUUAGACUUUACGCUUUUGUGCAUCCCUUUUUUGUAAUCAGGAAUAAGAUUAAUGCUUGAGAAAUUUAUUUGGAGUUUAUCAGAAUAUCCCCAUCACUAACAAUUUUUUCCUCCUUAAAAAAUAAUUUAGGGUUAUGAGCAGGGACUGGAGUAGUGACUGCUCCUUCAGAUGUCCAUGAAUAGUUGAUAGAAUUUGACUUUUGAACAGGUGGAUAUAAGGGUCUUGGUGAGGAAUUUAGAGAUGGAAUGAGUGAAGAUUUCAGGAGAAGAGAAUGGAAGAGACGGUGAGAAAGAUCUAGAUUUACGUUCUCCCUAAGAAGGUACACUAGAGGAGAGACCCUCAUAAUUGAAAUAAUACACAAGAGAGUGAAAUUUUUACACAUUAGGUUUUGAGGAUGAAGGACUUAGGGAAGCCAUUGGCGGAGAAAAGAGUUUUCUUUUUUGUUAGGAAAGUGAGUUUGAGAGAUAUUUGAAGUUUGUAGUGGAGCUUCGGUGAAUGUGGAGAGUUUUUAUAGAAAAGAAGAAAUAAUUGAAGGAUUGUAUAAUGAUUGAAGUGAUGAUUGUCAGUUUUAAAAGGAGAGAGCAAUGAUUGCAAAAAGAGGUAUUUAUUUAUUUUUCUCGCUUAAGAUUUUGUCUUUUGUAGGUGUUUGAGGUUUGAUAAUUAGGAUCAGAUCUUAAGACAGAAACAUAAUACUUUUAAUAUUUGAAAUAACUUGAAUUCUUUGCAAAGGAUCUGCAUAUAUGACUUGAGAACUAGGUCCUUAUGUGUCUUCUUGAGCUUUUACUUUGAAAUUAAGAUUCACUUUGAUGGUGAGAACUCAAGUGGUAGAUAUGAGCCUACCAAGGAACAAAGACUAAGUUAAUUACCAUAUCUAAUAAUUUGCAAGCGUGAUCUCUUACCUUAGUUUCAUAGUCAAGCACUUGGGGGAAGACUGUAGUCCUUCUUCUAUAAGAUUUCAUUAUCCAAGGGCCAAUCUAUUCUUCUCCAAAUGUUCUCUCUCCAAUGCUUUGAUGAAUAUAUCAGAAAUUUGUUCAUCACUUCCACAAAACACUAUUUCUAUCAACCCUUUUUCUACAUAAUCUAUGAGAAAAUGAUAUCUUACAUUAAUGUAUUUGAUUUUACUAUGUUGCACUGAAUUUUUAGCCAAAUUAACUGCACUUGUAUUAUCACACAUGAUAGAAAUACAUUCGAUGUUGAUUUCAUAGCCACUAAGUUGUUGUCUUAUCUGAUCCAGAGAAGUUAAGAACAAAAGGAUAUAGCAACUUUAUAUUCAGCCUCAACAAUUGAAAGAGCCACAGAGUUUUAUUUCUUUGUUGCCCAGGAGAAAAGACACAGUUUCAAGAAGUGAUCCAAUCCAGAAGUACUUUUUUUGUCCACCAAAUAUCCCGCAUGAUCAGCAUUAGGAUAACAAACAAUAUCAAAGAAAUCUCCAUCAGAAUACCAUAUAAACAUUCCUUGAGUGCCUUUGAGGUACCUAAAAAUUCUCUUGACAGUCCUUAAGUAAGAUUCUUUGGGAGAUGAUUGAAAUCUAGUACAUAUACCUAUACUAUACACAAUGUUAGUUCUACUAUCUGUAAGAUAUAGUAAGGAGACAAUCAUUCCUUAAUACUUUAUUUUAGCAACAGACACACCAGCCUCAUCUCUAUCAAGUGUUGUGGUAGUAACACUAGGAGUACUGCUUGUCUUAGCUCCAUUCAUCUCAAAUUUCUUUGAUAAUUCCUUGUUAUACUUUUGUCUAUGUAUGUAUGUUCCAUCCUUGGUUUGAUUGAUGUGUAAUUUUAAUAAAAAAGGUCAAUUCUCUCAUCAUGCUCAUUUUUUUUCUACUGCUUUCAUACCACAAAGAAGUCCAAUAGUUGUGCUUACUUCUUCCUUCAACCCUUUCAAACUCACUGCUCAUUAAUGAGGAGCAUUUCUUGCAUAAAACACGAUCUAUAGCUCCAAAUAUUAUAUCAUCUACAUCGAUUUGCACAAAAAAAGAUUGAAUUCUUCCUUUUUGUGAACAGUCUGUUGUCUAUUGUCUCUCUAGUAUAUCCAUGUUUUAGAAAAAAAGAGGACAGUUUGUCAUACGAUGAUUUUGGGGCCUGCUUAAGAUGAUAUAAAGCUUUGUCAAGAUUAUACACAUGAUCUGGAUAUUCAAAGAUCUCAAAACUUUGUGAUUGUUUCACAUAAACUUCUGUAUUCAGAUAAGCAUUCAAGAGGACACUUUUCACAUCCAUUUGAAACAGUUUUAAUUCCUUAUGGGAAGCAAAUACCAUCAGCAUUCUAAUGGCUUCCAUUCGAGCAGUAGGGGAAAAUAUUUCAUCAUAGUCCACCUUCAUCUUAAUUGUAUUCUUGCACCACCAGUUUGGCCUUGUUCCUAGUGACUACACCUUGAUCAUCUUACUUAUUUCUAAAUACCCACCCAAUUCAUAUGACAGUCCUAUAUGGAGACUUAGAAACUAAGUGGCAUAUCUUACUUCUGUAAAAUUGAUGUAACUCUUUUUGUGUAAAAACAAUGUAAUAUGUAUCUUACAAAGCUUCUUUGAUGUUCUUUGGUUUAAUCAGUGACAGGUAGGCUAAGUAAGUACACAUACUUCUCAACUUAUUUUUAGUCUGCAUGUCUGAAUUUAGGGGGAUAUAAUAUUUUCAAUGGAAUGUGACUCUUAUAUUCCUAAUUUAUUUUAGUAUUAGGCGGAGAAGUACUAGGUGCAUCAAGAUGAAAGGAUGAAUAAUCUGAAUGAGCAGUUCCCCCGAGGAAGACACCUCCUCCUGAGUUAUAGCAUAUUUCUUAACAGCUGGAGUGGUGUCCUUGUGUUCUUCUUUAUCUUUUGAAACAUGGGUCAGUUUAAACCUACAAUUGCCCUCAUCUAUGCAGCUGGAACUGUCCUCAUGAUUCGCUUCAUCAAAUAUGACAUAAAUGAAUUUCUUCUACCAACUAGUUCUCUUAUUGUAGAUUUUAUGAGCCUUACACUGUGAAGAAUAUCUCAGAAGAUACCUUUAUCAAUUUUUGCAUCAAAUUUUCCUAAUAUGUCCUUUCCAUUAUUGUAAAUAAAAUAUUUACACCCAAAAGGUCUUAGAUAGGUUAGAUUUGGCUUUCUACCCUUGAGUAGUUCAUAAGGGGUUUUGUCUAGCAGUGAUCUAAUCAUACACCUGUUAAGAAGAUAAUAUGCAAUGUUUACUACUUCAGCUUAAACAUUUUAAGGAAGACCACUUGCUAUGAUCAUUGUUCUAGCCAUAUCCUCUAGAGAUUUAUUCUUUCUUUCAAUCAUACCAUUUUCACGAGGAGUUCUAACUGCAGAGAAGUUGUCAUCAAUACUAUUUUCAACACAAAAGGUCAAGAAGUUUGAAUUUUUAAAUUCAAUAUCAUGAUCAGACCUUAUUCCUAUAACUUUAGCAUUCAACUUCUUUUGAACAAUUUUAACUAAUAUUUGGAAUACCUCAAGUGUCUUAUCCUUAAAACUCAAGAAGAGUGUCCAUGUGAAUCUUGAAUAUUCACCUACAAUCACAAAUACAUGCCUCUUCGCUCCUCUACUGAGAAUUCUCAUUGGACCACACAAGUCCAUAUACAAUAAUUGAAGAGGUUUAGUGGUGCUUACCAUUCUUUUAGGCUUGAAUGAGGAUCUAACAUAUUUUAUCUUUUCACAAACAUCACACACAAGAGAUUCGUUCAGUUUGUUUUGUGAUAAUCCUAACACCAAAUCAAUUGCCACUAGUUUGUUGAUUGUUGAGUAGCUAGCAUGUCCUAACAUUUUAUGUCAUAAUAAUGAGCUAAUUGUCAUAACACUAAAGCAUGUCAGUUCAAAUUUUGUAGUAUCCAUAAUAUCUACUUUGUACAUAUUUUUAUGCUUUCUCCCUUGAGUACAAUAAUCCCACUAACAGAGUUUGUCACAAUACAGUCCGUAGGAAUAAACUUCAUAUUAUUUCCCUUAUCGCACAUUUGAGAUAUGCUUAGAAGAUUGUGUUUUAGUUCAAAUACAUAGUGCAAAUUAUAAAUAAAACGUGACAUUGUUCUUCCAACCUUUCCUACACCAAUAAAUUCUCAAAUUUUACUAUUUUCAAAAAGCAUUACUUCCACCUUAAUAGUCUAUAAGAGAGAGAAAGUAUUCUUUAUUUUCAGUCAUAUGUCUAGAGCAAGCAUUGUCAAGGUACCAAUGCUUGUUUUUUCCUUCCUUCUUAUCCUACAAAUAUAAUUUAGAGGUUAGUUUUGGGCACCCAGAUUAACUUGUGCCUUUUUUUGUGAGAAAAAGGAUGGAUCAAAUCUCUUUCAGCCCAAUGAGGAAGUUCUCUCUUAAUGGACAACAUUUUAUUUAGUUUCUGAGUCUUGUAUCUGUUUAUGAACUUGAAAUUUCUUUUUCACCUUUAUGUGAAGGAUAUUAAUUUUUGAGGUGUCCUUCUUUCCCAUAAAUAAACCAUAUUUAUAGACAAAUUUGCUUUGUAAUGCUCAGGUCUGAAUCCUAGCCCAUGUUUAGAGAUGGAAUAACUACUUUGAAUAUGAGGGGGAAGGGUAUAGGACUUCAUCCACUUGAUUAUGUUCUAGAUCAAGUUUAUCCUUGUUCAAAUCUUUUAGCAAUAAUGUAUUUUUCUCAGAUAAUUCAUCAAGGCUAAUAUUUAGUUUCUUUAUGUCCUCCUUAUUUUGCUAAUGAAUGGUGGCUUAACUCUUACCUUUGUCAGAGAAUUUCUUAAGAAAAAUUCUCAAAGAUGUAUUGUCCUCU